UGGUCAAGUUAUUAAGGGUGCAGGGCGGAUGCCUUGGCACUAGGAGCCGAUGAAGGACGUGAUAAGCUGCGAUAAGCUUCGGGGAGUUGCACGUAAACUUUGAUCCGAAGAUUUCCGAAUGAGGAAACUCACUUAGAGUAAUGUCUAAGUAUCAUUAAGUGAAUACAUAGCUUAAUGAGGGGAACUCAGGGAACUGAAACAUCUAAGUACCUGAAGGAAGAGAAAGAAAUUCGAUUCCGUAAGUAGCGGCGAGCGAACGCGGAUUAGCCCAAACCAAUAAAGUUUUCUUUAUUGGGGUUGCGGACAUAUCAUAACGAAGAGGUAUCGUAAUUGAAGAGGUUUGGAAAGACCCACCACAGAAGGUAAUAGUCCUGUAUGUUAAACGAGAAGACUUUAGAUAUGAUCCAGAGUACCACGGGACACGUGAAACCCUGUGGGAAGCAGGAGGGACCACCCUCCAAGGCUAAAUACUACCUAGUGACCGAUAGCGUAUAGUACCGUGAGGGAAAGGUGAAAAGAACCCCGGGAGGGGAGUGAAAUAGAACCUGAAACCCUGCACUUACAAGCUGUGGAAGCACAUUUCUUGUGUGACCGCGUACUUUUUGUAGAACGGGCCAACGAGUUACGUUAAGUAGCAAGGUUAAGCACUUAAGGUGCGGAGCCGUAGCGAAAGCGAGUUUUAACUGAGCGUUCAGUUACUUGACGUAGACCCGAAACCGGGCGACCUACCCAUGAGCAGGAUGAAGCGAAAGUAAAAUUUCGUGGAGGUCCGAACCCACGAGCGUUGAAAAGCUCGGGGAUGACUUGUGGGUAGCGGUGAAAUUCCAAUCGAGCCCGGAGAUAGCUGGUUCUCCCCGAAAUAGCUUUAGGGCUAGCCUCAAGGUGAGAGAUACGGAGGUAGAGCACUGAAUGUCCUAGGGGGUAUUGCACCUACCGAAGACUAUCAAACUCCGAAUGCCGUCAUCUUAUACUUGGGAGUCAGACUGUGGGUGAUAAGAUUCAUAGUCGAAAGGGCAACAGCCCAGAUCGUCAGCUAAGGUCCCUAAAUGUAAGUUAAGUGGUAAAGGAUGUGGGAUUGCACAGACAACCAGGAUGUUGGCUUAGAAGCAGCCACUCAUUCAAAGAGUGCGUAAUAGCUCACUGGUCGAGUGAUCCUGCGCCGAAGAUUUCCGGGGCUAAAACUUACUACCGAAGCUACGGCAUCAGUAAUGAUGGGUAGGGGAGCUUCCCAUACGGGUUGAAGCAUGACCGUAAGGACAUGUGGACAGUAUGGGAGUGAGAAUGUUGGCAUGAGUAGCGAGAUGUGGGUGAGAAUCCCACAGGCCGUAAACCCAAGGUUUCCAGGGGAAGGUUCGUCCGCCCUGGGUUAGUCGGGACCUAAGCUGAGGCCGAAAGGCGUAGGUGAUGGACAACAGGUUGAUAUUCCUGUACUACCGAUAACCAUUUGAGAGAAGGGAUGACACAGUAGGAUAAGCUAAGCACACUGUUGGUUAUGUGUGCCCAAGCAUUGAGGCAGUCAAAGUAGGCAAAUCCGCUUUGAUAAUGCUGGGAUGUGAUGGGGAGCGAAAUUUAGUAGCGAAGUAGCUGAUUUCACACUGUCAAGAAAAGUCUCUAUCGAGGUUAAAGGUACCCGUACCGCAAACCGACACAGGUGGGUGAGGAGAGUAUCCUAAGGCCAGCGAGAGAACUGUUGUUAAGGAACUCGGCAAAAUGACCCCGUAACUUAGGGAUAAGGGGUGCCACCAUCAGGUGGCCGCAGAGAAUAGGCCCAAGCGACUGUUUACCAAAAACAUAGGUUUCUGCUAAGUCGCAAGACGAUGUAUAGGAGCUGACGCCUGCCCGGUGCUGGAAGGUUAAGGGGAUCUGUUAGAGCAAUCGAAGCAGUGAACUUAAGCCCCAGUAAACGGCGGCCGUAACUAUAACGGUCCUAAGGUAGCGAAAUUCCUUGUCGGGUAAGUUCCGACCCGCACGAAAGGCGUAACGAUUUGGGCACUGUCUCAACAACAGACUCGGUGAAAUUGUAAUUCCGGUGAAGAUGCCGGAUACCUGCGACAGGACGGAAAGACCCCAUGGAGCUUUACUGUAGCUUGACAUUGGGUCUUGGUACUACAUGUACAGGAUAGGUGGGAGGCUUUGAAACCAGGACGCCAGUUUUGGCGGAGCCAUCCUUGGGAUACCACCCUUGUAGUACUGGGACUCUAACCAUAGGCCAUGAAUCUGGUCUUGGGACACUGUCAGGUGGGCAGUUUGACUGGGGCGGUCGCCUCCCAAAAGGUAACGGAGGCGCUCAAAGGUUCUCUCAGUACGGUCGGAAAUCGUACGUAGAGUGUAAAGGCAAAAGAGAGCUUGAUUGCAAGACAUACAGGUCGAGCAAGGAUGAAAAUCGGACUUAGUGAUCCGGUGGUUCUGCGUGGAAGGGCCAUCGCUCAACGGAUAAAAGCUACCCUGGGGAUAACAGGCUUAUCUCCCCCAAGAGUCCACAUCGACGGGGAGGUUUGGCACCUCGAUGUCGGCUCAUCACAUCCUGGGGCUGUAGUAGGUCCCAAGGGUUGGGCUGUUCGCCCAUUAAAGUGGUACGCGAGCUGGGUUCAGAACGUCGUGAGACAGUUCGGUCCCUAUCCGUCGCAGGCGUAGGAAAUUUGAGAAGACCUGUCCUUAGUACGAGAGGACCGGGAUGGACGUACCUCUGGUGUACCAGUUGUUCUGCCAAGGGCAUGGCUGGGUAGCUAUGUACGGAAUGGAUAAGCGCUGAAAGCAUCUAAGCGCGAAGCCAACUUCAAGAUAAGAUUUCCCACCGCAAGGGUAAGACCCCAGAAAGACUAUCUGGUUGAUAGGUCGAAGGUGUAAGUGCAGCAAUGUAUUUAGCUUAUCGAUACUAAUAGGUCGAGGACUUGACCAAU
rnacentral:rRNA from 1 species